UACGGAGGGGGCUAGCGUUGUUCGGAAUUACUGGGCGUAAAGCGCACGUAGGCGGACUGUUAAGUCGGGGGUGAAAUCCUGGGGCUCAACCUCAAAAUUGCCUCCGAUACUGGCAGUCUCGAGUGCGGGAGAGGUGAGUGGAAUUCCCAGUGUAGAGGUGAAAUUCGUAGAUAUUGGGAAGAACACCAGUGGCGAAGGCGGCUCACUGGCCCGUAACUGACGCUGAGGUGCGAAAGCGUGGGGAGCAAACAGG
rnacentral:rRNA from 1 species